rfam:Alligator mississippiensis ScZkoYb_432, whole genome shotgun sequence.
AUACUUACCUGGCAGGGGAGAUACCUUGAUCCGGUAGGAGGUUUUCCCAGGGUGAGGCUCGCCCCUUGCACUCCGGGCGUGCUGACCCCUGCGAUUUCCCCACAUGCGGGAAACUCGACUGCAUAAUUUGUGGUAGUAGGGGACUGCGUUCGCGCUCUCCCCUG